UCCAUAUCGUAGACUUGAUGUGUGGCCAGCCUACGUGCUGAUGCUUGCCAGCCUGUGUGCUGAUGACCGUGAACCUUGGUUUUAUUUUGGCUGAUCUUGUAAUGCCUCAGAUUGUAUGCCGCCUGCUAGACUUUGUGACUUUGCCUUGUUGGCUUUAUUAAUUUAAAGCCGGACGCCUUUGACGUCUUCGUUUUAUUUUUUUUCCAAUUUCCAUAGCCACUCAAAAAAAAUUGCCUACAAAAAAUCCAAUUUCCACAAGGGCACACCAUAGCACACGGCCGCCCACGACCGAGCUUGGCGGCUCCUCCCCUCCCGGCCGGAGCAGGGAAGCCGGAGAACUAAGUCGCAGGCUACUGGUGCAGCGUCGCCGUCCUACCGAUGCCUCUACGGCAUGACCGGCGCUUCCCUGCAGCGCGCCUGCCCUCGUUCUGCUGUUUACUCUUCCGACCAGGUGAUAUCCUCCAUGCCGAUGUUCUGGUCGAGCCCCAGGGCAUUCCACACCGCUGGUGAGGCAUCAACGAUGUUAUUAUUGCAUGGAGGCUCGUAGUUGUGGUCGGCGUCACAGCCAUACACGGAGUCGCACUCGUCCACCACCUUGGCGUACACGGACUUGCCGUUAGCGGUGAUCUUGAUGCGGUGACCGCAGCGUGCCAUGUUCUUGAACCAGCCGGUGGAGAGCGCAACGACCAGUUCCUUGUCGCUGUGGUAGGAGUUGUCGCACUCUGACGGGCCACCGCCAUCCUUGCCCUUCUCGAAGCUGUUGAGCGUCAGGACGGCCUUGGUGGUCGCGGUGACCGGCGGCGAGCAGUGGGGUACUGUGGGUACCUCUUACCGUCUUCGCAACAGUCCGGGUCAUUGCUCUUCUCGCAGUUGCCGGACUUGCCCGGGAGAUAGCCGCUGGCACGGCAGACCCCUAGGCCGGGGCGAAGGGAGGAGGCAAUGUGGGACGUGGAGAGCGCCACCAGCAGGAAGACCGCGGCAGUGGCUAGAGCUCUGAAGUUGGCCAUUUCAGUUACCCUAGUUUGUAUUCUCUCUGUUAUGCUGAUUCCUGGUGUGUUUGGCCUUGUUUUUGGAAUUGCUGUGUGCGCAUCGGCUUUUGUAGUACCCUUGAGGUGUGAACAUUGUCAGGUUGUUUGCUACGGCAAUUUUUGCUGUGUUCAGAUUAUGAAUACUUGAUGUGUGGACGUACCGUA